rnacentral:rRNA from 1 species
AACGCCAGCUACAGGCUUAACACACGCAAGUCGAGGGGCAGCACGGUCUUAGCUUGCUAAGGCCGAUGGCGACCGGCGCACGGGCGAGUAACACGUAUCCAACCUGCCGUCUACUCUUGGACAGCCUUCUGAAAGGAAGAUUAAUACAAGAUGGCAUCAUGAGUCCGCAUGUUCACAUGAUUAAAGGUAUUCCGGUAGACGAUGGGGAUGCGUUCCAUUAGAUAGUAGGCGGGGUAACGGCCCACCUAGUCUUCGAUGGAUAGGGGUUCUGAGAGGAAGGUCCCCCACAUUGGAACUGAGACACGGUCCAAACUCCUACGGGAGGCAGCAGUGAGGAAUAUUGGUCAAUGGGCGAGAGCCUGAACCAGCCAAGUAGCGUGAAGGAUGACUGCCCUAUGGGUUGUAAACUUCUUUUAUAAAGGAAUAAAGUCGGGUAUGGAUACCCGUUUGCAUGUACUUUAUGAAUAAGGAUCGGCUAACUCCGUGCCAGCAGCCGCGGUAAUACGGAGGAUCCGAGCGUUAUCCGGAUUUAUUGGGUUUAAAGGGAGCGUAGAUGGAUGUUUAAGUCAGUUGUGAAAGUUUGCGGCUCAACCGUAAAAUUGCAGUUGAUACUGGAUAUCUUGAGUGCAGUUGAGGCAGGCGGAAUUCGUGGUGUAGCGGUGAAAUGCUUAGAUAUCACGAAGAACUCCGAUUGCGAAGGCAGCCUGCUAAGCUGCAACUGACAUUGAGGCUCGAAAGUGUGGGUAUCAAACAGGAUUAGAUACCCUGGUAGUCCACACGGUAAACGGUGAAUACUCGCUGUUUGCGAUAUACGGCAAGCGGCCAAGCGAAAGCGUUAAGUAUUCCACCUGGGGAGUACGCCGGCAACGGUGAAACUCAAAGGAAUUGACGGGGGCCCGCACAAGCGGAGGAACAUGUGGUUUAAUUCGAUGAUACGCGAGGAACCUUACCCGGGCUUAAAUUGCAGAUGAAUUACGGUGAAAGCCGUAAGCCGCAAGGCAUCUGUGAAGGUGCUGCAUGGUUGUCGUCAGCUCGUGCCGUGAGGUGUCGGCUUAAGUGCCAUAACGAGCGCAACCCUUGUUGUCAGUUACUAACAGGUUCCGCUGAGGACUCUGACAAGACUGCCAUCGUAAGAUGUGAGGAAGGUGGGGAUGACGUCAAAUCAGCACGGCCCUUACGUCCGGGGCUACACACGUGUUACAGUGGGGGGUACAGAGGGCCGCUACCACGCGAGUGGAUGCCAAUCCCCAAAACCUCUCUCAGUUCGGACUGGAGUCUGCAACCCGACUCCACGAAGCUGGAUUCGCUAGUAAUCGCGCAUCAGCCACGGCGCGGUGAAUACGUUCCCGGGCCU